rnacentral:rRNA from 1 species
ACUCCUGAGGUGGCGAGCGGCGGACGGGUGAGUAAUGCCUAGGGAUCUGCCCAGUCGAGGGGGAUAACAGUUGGAAACGACUGCUAAUACCGCAUACGCCCUACGGGGGAAAGAGGGGGACUUUCGGGCCUCUCGCGAUUGGAUGAACCUAGGUGGGAUUAGCUAGUUGGUGAGGUAAUGGCUCACCAAGGCGACGAUCCCUAGCUGUUCUGAGAGGAUGAUCAGCCACACUGGGACUGAGACACGGCCCAGACUCCUACGGGAGGCAGCAGUGGGGAAUAUUGCACAAUGGGGGAAACCCUGAUGCAGCCAUGCCGCGUGUGUGAAGAAGGCCUUCGGGUUGUAAAGCACUUUCAGUAGGGAGGAAAGGUUGUAAGUUAAUACCUUGCAGCUGUGACGUUACCUACAGAAGAAGGACCGGCUAACUCCGUGCCAGCAGCCGCGGUAAUACGGAGGGUCCAAGCGUUAAUCGGAAUUACUGGGCGUAAAGCGUGCGCAGGCGGUUUGUUAAGCGAGAUGUGAAAGCCCCGGGCUCAACCUGGGAAUUGCAUUUCGAACUGGCAAACUAGAGUCUUGUAGAGGGGGGUAGAAUUCCAGGU